ACUCAGCCCGCCUGCACCCAGGUGAAAUAAACAGCCUUGUUGCUCACACAAAACCCGUUUGGUGGUCUCUUCACAUGGACGCGAAUGAAAUUUGGUGCUGUGACUCGGAUCGGGGGACCUCCCUUGGGAGAUAAAUCCCAUGUCCUCCUGCUCUUUGCUCUGUGAGAAGGAUCCACUUAUGACCUCAGGUCCUCAGACCAACCAGCCCACAGAACAUCUCACCAAUUUUAAAUCGGCCAUGUCCCAUCUGUGUGGGACCCCACUGAAAAUCGGACUCUUCAACUCACCUGGCAGCCACUCCCAGAGCCCCUGGAACUCUGGCCCAAGGCUCUCUGGCUCCUUCCCAGAUCUUCUCGGCUUAGCGGCUGAAGACUGAUGCUGCCCGAUCACCUUGGAAGCCCCCUAGACCAUCAUGGAUGCCAAGCUUCGGGUAACUCUCACAGUGGAGGACAGGAAUGUCAGACCUCUGAGCCCAAGCUAAGCCAUCAUAUCCCCUGUGACCUGUACAUACAUCCAGAUGGCCUGAAGUAACUGAAGAAUCACAAAAGAAGUGAAAAUGGCCUGUUCCUGCCUUAACUGAUGACAUUACCUUGUGAAAUUCCUUCUCCUGGCUCAUCCUGGAUCAAAAGCUCCCACACUGAGCACCUUGUGACCCCUACCCCUGCCAACUAGAAAACAACCCCCUUUGACUGUAAUUUUCCUUUACCUACCCAAAUCCUAUAAAACGGCCCCACCCCUAUCUCCCUUUGCUGACUCUCUUUUCAGACUCAGCCCAUCUGCACCCAGGUGAAAUAAACAGCCCUGUUGCUCACA